GGAAUAUUGGUCAAUGGGGGCAACCCUGAACCAGCCAAGUCGCGUGAAGGAUGUAGGUCUUAUGGAUUGUAAACUUCUUUUAUACAGGAAUAAAUUGGGGGACGUGUCCCCUUUUGCAUGUACUGUAUGAAUAAGGAUCGGCUAACUCCGUGCCAGCAGCCGCGGUAAUACGGAGGAUCCGAGCGUUAUCCGGAUUUAUUGGGUUUAAAGGGUGCGCAGGCGGGAUGUUAAGUCGCCGGUGAAAUUUUGCAGCUCAACUGUAAAAGUGCCUUCG
rnacentral:rRNA from 1 species